GACGAACGCUGGCGGCGUGCUUAACACAUGCAAGUCGAACGGUAAGGCCCUUCGGGGUACACGAGUGGCGAACGGGUGAGUAACACGUGGGUGAUCUGCCCUGCACUUCGGGAUAAGCCUGGGAAACUGGGUCUAAUACCGGAUAGGACUCCUGGCUUCAUGGUUGGGGGUGGAAGGCUUUUGCGGUGUGGGAUGGGCCCGCGGCCUAUCAGCUUGUUGGUGGGGUAAUGGCCUACCAAGGCGACGACGGGUAGCCGGCCUGAGAGGGUGGCCGGUCACACUGGGACUGAGAUACGGCCCAAACUCCUACGGGAGGCAGCAGUGGGGAAUAUUGCACAAUGGGCGCAAGCCUGAUGCAGCGACGCCGCGUGAGGGAUGACGGCCUUCGGGUUGUAAACCUCUUUCAGCUAUGACGAAGCGCAAGUGACGGUAGUAGCAGAAGAAGGACCGGCCAACUACGUGCCAGCCGCCGCCGUAAUAC
rnacentral:rRNA from 1 species